rnacentral:rRNA from 1 species
GAUGAACGCUGGCGGCGUGCCUAAUACAUGCAAGUCGAGCGAACGGACGAGAAGCUCGCUGCUGUGAUGUUAGCGGCGGACGGGUGAGUAACACGUGGAUAACCUAUCUCUAAGACUUGGAUAACUUCGGGAAACCGUAGCUAAUACCGGAUGAUAUUUUGAACUGCAUGGUUUAAAAGUGAAAGAUGGUCUUUCUGUCAAUUAUAGAUGGAUCCGCGCUGCAUUAGCUAGUUGGUAAGGUAACGGCUUACCAAGGCAACGAUGCAUAGCCGACCUGGGAGGGUGAUAGGCCACACGGGAGCGUGAACACGGUCCAGACUCCUACGGGAGGCAGCAGUAGGGAAUCUUCCGCAAUGGGCGGAAGCCUUACGGAACAACGCCACGUGAGUGAUGAAGGUCUUCGGAGCGUAAAACUCUGUUAUUAGGUAAGAACAUAUGUGUAAGUAACUGUGCACAUCGUGACGGUACCUAAUCAGAAAGCCACGGCUAACUACGUG